UGCCUAAUACAUGCAAGUCGAGCGAACGGACGAGAAGCUUGCUUCUCUGAUGUUAGCGGCGGACGGGUGAGUAACACGUGGAUAACCUACCUAUAAGACUGGGAUAACUUCGGGAAACCGGAGCUAAUACCGGAUAAUAUUUUGAACCGCAUGGUUCAAAAGUGAAAGACGGUCUUGCUGUCACUUAUAGAUGGAUCCGCGCUGCAUUAGCUAGUUGGUAAGGUAACGGCUUACCAAGGCAACAAUGCAUAGCCGACCUGAGAGGGUGAUCGGCCACACUGGAACUGAGACACGGUCCAGACUCCUACGGGAGGCAGCAGUAGGGAAUCUUCCGCAAUGGGCGAAAGCCUGACGGAGCAACGCCGCGUGAGUGAUGAAGGUCUUCGGAUCGUAAAACUCUGUUAUUAGGGAAGAACAUAUGUGUAAGUAACUGUGCACAUCUUGACGGUACCUAAUCAGAAAGCCACGGCUAACUACGUGCCAGCAGCCGCGGUAAUACGUAGGUGGCAAGCGUUAUCCGGAAUUAUUGGGCGUAAAGCGCGCGUAGGCGGUUUUUUAAGUCUGAUGUGAAAGCCCACGGCUCAACCGUGGAGGGUCAUUGGAAACUGGAAAACUUGAGUGCAGAAGAGGAAAGUGGAAUUCCAUGUGUAGCGGUGAAAUGCGCAGAGAUAUGGAGGAACACCAGUGGCGAAGGCGACUUUCUGGUCUGUAAC
rnacentral:rRNA from 1 species